rnacentral:antisense_RNA from 1 species
CGCAUUCCUGGGCCCGCUGGGCGCGGCUGGGCAGGCCGCUCGAAUUUGACCCGAGUGGGCCGCGAUCGGCCGAGGAUUUGGGGUACUCUUUGACCCAGGCGGGGCGCGAUCCGCCUAGGAUUUGGGGUCCCCUGGCGCCGAACCCUGAGUUGCCAGAUUUAGCAAGUAAAAGUACAGUUCUUCUAAAUUUGAAUUUCAGACAGGACAGGUUUUAGGGUUCGUCUCCUGUAAUGUUGAGAAGGAUUUCCCUCAUCUACCUUUCUUUGGGAGAUACGACUAAAACCAACAAAAGCCAAGUUUGGUAAAUAAGAAGUUUAAACAAGUGCUUCUCUGUACAGCUCAUCCACUUCCUCAUCUGUAAACCGAUCCCCCAUGGUUGUCAGCAGCUCUCUCAAGUAAUCUUCCUGAAUGGUGCCUGGAGAAUAAAGAACAAGGGAUCAGAAUACAUACUAUUCUGAGGGUUAAUUACAAAGAAUAUCUAUACUCAACUAAGCAUGUUCUGUAUGUUACAAACUAUAAACAUGCAAAGAUAUAUGAACUACAGGGUGUCCACCUACUUAAAACAGCCUCAGCAGAGAAGUGCCUAGAAAAAUGCCUAGCUGCUUAGCAGCACUGCUCCGCUCUAUCAUUUGCUCUAUCAUUCUGCCUCCACAUUCAGCUUCUGAUCUCUUGAUAAGAGAGACUAAACCUAUGCCUAAACAAAGUAAUAAAAAGUAUGGUUAAAG